rnacentral:lncRNA from 1 species
GUUGGCAGCAGGCUGUUGUGAGAGCAAGAAGCCCAAAUUAUCUGGAAGUGAAACACACAGUCACAAGAAUGAGUCCACAGCCGUCCCCAGCCCUAGGUCAGGACCUCUUCAAAACUGCCAGCAUGUAGACAGCAGCAGCAGAUAGGAGAGUGUGUUGGACUUAACUCUGGGACCUGGAAGUGCUCCCAUCACACGAAUGAAUCCAGCAUCAGGAGCACUGAGCCCUCUCCCCCAGUCUAAUGGAAUGGCAGCUCCACAAAGAAUCCGGAGGUGACUGCACAGAUGUGCUGCUACUGCUUUACCAAACUCCACUGUCAGCUCUAUGGCUUUCCACAGCCACGACUUCCUAGAUUCACCAAUGACCCCUGUCUGCUCUUUGUGACAUGGAAGACAGGGAGGGACAAGUGGCUUCAUGGCUGCAUUGGGACCUUCUCAGCCAUGAAUCUUUAUUCAGGUCUCAGGGAAUACGUUAGCCAUUGCAUUUAAGGACAGCUGAUAUCUCCUCCAAUCUGAGAGGGGCUGCGUAAGCUUUUCUGCUCUGUCUCCCUCCAUACUAACUUUGAGGAUGCUAGUGAUUACCUGGACUGGGAGAUAGGGGUCCAUGGGAUUUAAACUGAAUUCAUUAAGGAAAAAGGCAUCAAACGUACCGCCUCAUUUUCACCUGAGUCCUUGCUCAGGAAAGGUAGCUUUAAGGAUCCAAUUACCAGUGAAUUUGGAAAAAUGGUCAAACUCACCAGUUACUAAAGUGAGAAGGUGACAAUCAGUUUUGCAGAGUAUAUUGCUUAUUGACAGCACUGUUUCCAGAACCAUACUCUUCAUGCCCCGCCCCCUACAAUCAUUA